rnacentral:rRNA from 1 species
UACGUAGGGUGCGAGCGUUAAUCAGAAUUACUGGGCGUAAAGUGUGCGCAGGCGGCCGAGCAAGUCGAGUGUGAAAGCCCCGAGCUUAACUUGGGAACUGCGCUCGAAACUACUUGGCUAGAGUGUGGCAGAGGGAGGUGGAAUUCCACGUGUAGCGGUGAAAUGCGUAGAGAUGUGGAGGAACACCGAUGGCGAAGGCAGCCUCCUGGGCCAACACUGACGCUCAUGCACGAAAGCGUGGGGAGCAAACAGG